rnacentral:rRNA from 1 species
UGGGGAAUAUUGGACAAUGGGCGAAAGCCUGAUCCAGCCAUGCCGCGUGUGUGAAGAAGGUCUUCGGUUUGUAAAGCACUUUACGUUGGGAGGAAGGGCAGUAAGCGAAUACCUUGCUGUUUUGACGUUACCGACAGAAUAAGCACCGGCUAACUCUGUGCCAGCAGCCGCGGUAAUACAGAGGGUGCAAGCGUUUAUCGGAAUUAUUGGGCGUAAAGCGCGCGUAGGUGGUUCGUUAAGUUGAAUGUGAAAGCCCCGGGCUCAACCUGGGAACUGCAUCCAAAACUGGCGAGCUAGCGUAGGGCAGAUGGUGGUGGAAUUUCCUGUGUAGCGGCGAAAUGCGUACAUAUAGGAAGGAACACCAGUGGCGCAGGCGAACACCUGGGAUAAUACUGACACUGUGGUGCGAAAGCGUGGGGAGCAAACAGG